rnacentral:rRNA from 1 species
GACGAACGCUGGCGGCGUGCCUAAUACACGCAAGUCGAGCGGAAGUUGAAGAGCUUGCUCUUCAACUUUAGCGGCGGACGGGUGAGUAACACGUGGGCAACCUGCCCUGCAGAUCGGAAUAACUCCGGGAAACCGGUGCUAAUACCGAAUAGUUUUCGCCACCUCCUGGUGGCGUACGGAAAGACGGUUUCGGCUGGCACUGCAGGAUGGGCCCGCGGGGCAUUAGCGAGUUGGUGGGGUAACGGCCCACCAAGGCGACGAUCCGUAGCCGACCUGAGAGGGUGAUCGGCCACACUGGGACGGAGACACGGCCCAGACUCCUACGGGAGGCAGCAGUAGGGAAUCUUCCGCAAUGGACGAAAGUCUGACGGAGCAACGCCGCGUGAGUGACGAAGGUUUUCGGAUCGUAAAACUCUGUUGUGAGGGAAGAACAAGUACCACUUAACUACUGGUACCUUGACGGUACCUCACCAGAAAGCCACGGCCAACUACGUGCCAGCCGCCGCAGUAA